GCCAGUAUGGCAUAGUGGUUUGAGUGUUGGACUACAACUCUGGAGACCAGAGUUUGAUUCCCAGCUCUGCCA
rnacentral:tRNA from 1 species